CCUACGGGAGGUUGCAGUCGAGAAUCAUUCACAAUGGGGGAAACCCUGAUGGUGCGACGCCGCGUGGGGGAAUGAAGGUCUUCGGAUUGUAAACCCCUGUCAUGUGGGAGCAAAUUAAAAAGAUAGUACCCCAAGAGGAAGAGACGGCUAACUCUGUGCCUGCAGCCGCGGUAAUACAGAGGUCUCAAGCGUUGUUCGGAAUCACUGGGCGUAAAGCGUGCGUAGGCUGUUUCGUAAGUCGUGUGUGAAAGGCGCGGGCUCAACCCGCGGACGGCACAUGAUACUGCGAGACUAGAGUAAUGGAGGGGGAACCGGAAUUCUCGGUGUAGCAGUGAAAUGCGUAGAUAUCGAGAGGAACACUCGUGGCGAAGGCGGGUUCCUGGACAUUAACUGACGCUGAGGCACGAAGGCCAGGGGAGCGAAAGGGAUUAGAUACCCUUGUAGUC
rnacentral:rRNA from 1 species